rnacentral:lncRNA from 1 species
UUUGUCUUAGAUAUGGGAUAGUUUGAUUUGGUAACCUUUGCAGAUCCUGGUAGUUCCAAUUGAGCAAUGUAAUGAGUUUGACUUAAUUGUUCUUUUAGUGAAUUUGAGGGAUAACAAUUUUCUUAUAAAUCUUUUAAUUAAGCAGCAUAAUUAAUAUUAGUAAACUUUUAUAAAAAUAUUGUUUAAUAACUUAAAUAUCAGUAUUGGCUACAAAGGCACAAGGAGAUGCAUAUGCACCUCCCCUCGCCG